GACGAACGCUGGCGGCGUGCUUAACACAUGCAAGUCGAACGGUAAGGCCCUUCGGGGUACACGAGUGGCGAACGGGUGAGUAACACGUGGGUGAUCUGCCCUGCACUUCGGGAUAAGCCUGGGAACCUGGGUCUAAUACCGGAUAGGACUCCUGGCUUCAUGGUUGGGGGUGGAAAGCUUUUGCGGUGUGGGAUGGGCCCGCGGCCUAGCGGCUUGUUGGUGGGGUAAUGGGCUACCAAGGAGACGACGGGUAGCCGUGCCUGAGAGGGUGACCGGUCACACUGGGACUGAGAUACGGCCCAGACUCCUACGGGAGGCAGCAGUGGGGAAUAUUGCACAAUGGGCGCAAGCCUGAUGCAGCGACGCCGCGUGAGGGAUGACGGCCUUCGGGUUGUAAACCUCUUUCAGCUAUGACGAAGCGCAAGUGACGGUAGUAGCAGAAGAAGGACCGGCCAACUACGUGCCAGCAGCCGCGGUAA
rnacentral:rRNA from 1 species